GUGCAAGGGGCACUUUACCCAGGAGUUUGCUAGAUUGUGUUGGAUGUCCACAUGCCACUGGUCUCAGGGAUGACUCACGGCAGCACUUCCAAGAUGGCAGGUUUUGUUUGCAAUUUAAAAAAAUUUUUGUAUUAGUGUCUACUAAUUGUGCAAAAUAACAGAGAAGUGUGAACUUUGCAUAGCCACCUGCCUCAGGACUCCCUUCCAGCACCCAGGCCAUGGUCUAGCCUCUGAGUCACAGAGAGCAAACACAGAUCCUCGCCAUGACAGUCCUCAGGUGCACACUUGUGUGUAAGUGGGAAUUAGCCGAGCGUGGAAUUAUUUUACCAUGGAAAUAAGUGUGGGCACUGAAAAGCAUCACUCUUCUGACCACACAGGAAUCAGACAGAGGGUCAACACGGGGGGAGUUCCCUGGGACUCGGAGCGGAUGUGUUGGUUGGAUUUUUCCAGAGGAAGCUGCGGUACCACAAGGAAAUAAACCAUAAUGCCUACAAAACCUGACUGUUCACGUUCCAACUCCCUCUUCAAAGCAGGUCCCCGCUCUCCAAGGAGCAGGGACUGAAACUUCCCUACCUCCAUUUAGAAAAGAUACUUGCAAGCACACCAGAUCCCAGCGGGCAAAGCAAACCCACAUCUCACAGUGUCUUUAUGAGGUGCCCCAGUCCACAGGAAACAGGACUGCCUAUGUCACCUUAACAACCACGGGAAACCUGAAGCAGAACAAGAAGCCAAAAGCCU